UGGGGAAUAUUGGACAAUGGGCGCAAGCCUUAUUCAGCCAUGCCGCGUGAGUGGAGAAGGCCUUCGGGUUGUAAAGCUCUUUUAGUCGGAAAGAAAGAGUUGCAAUGAAUAAUUGUGAUUUAUGACGGUACCGACAGAAAAAGCACCGGCUAACUACGUGCCAGCAGCCGCGGUAAUACGUAGGGUGCGAGCGUUAAUCGGAAUUACUGGGCGUAAAGGGUGCGCAGGCGGUCUUGCAAGUCAGAUGUGAAAGCCCCGGGCUUAACCUGGGAAUUGCGUUUGAAACUACAAGACUAGAGUGCAGCAGAGGGGAGUGGAAUUCCAUGUGUAGCAGUGAAAUGCGUAGAGAUGUGGAAGAACACCGAUGGCGAAGGCAGCUCCCUGGGUUGACACUGACGCUCAUGCACGAAAGCGUGGGGAGCAAACA
rnacentral:rRNA from 1 species